rnacentral:rRNA from 1 species
AGAAUCAACGCUGGCGGCGUGCCUAACACAUGCAAGUCGAACGAGAAAGUGGAGCAAUCCAUGAGUAAAGUGGCGCACGGGUGAGUAACACGUGACUAACCUACCUUUUAGUGGGGGAUAACCUAGGGAAACCUGGGCUAAUACCGCAUAACACUUACGAGUCAAAGCAGCAAUGCGCUGAAAGAGGGGUCGCGGCCGAUUAGCUAGUUGGCGGGGUAAUGGCCCACUAAGGCAGUGAUCGGUA